CCUACGGGGGGCAGCAGUGAGGAAUAUUCCACAAUGGGCGAAAGCCUGAUGGAGCAAUGCCGCGUGCAGGAUGAAGGCCCUCGGGUUGUAAACUGCUUUUAUAUGAGAAGACUAUGACGGUAACAUAUGAAUAAGGACCGGCUAACUACGUGCCAGCAGCCGCGGUCAUACGUAGGGUCCAAGCGUUAUCCGGAGUGACUGGGCGUAAAGAGUUGCGUAGGCGGUUAUGUAAGCGAGUGAUGAAAACUAUCGGCUCAACCGAUAGCCUAUUAUUCGAACUGCAUAACUCGAGAGUAUCAGAGGUCGCUGGAAUUCCUAGUGUAGGAGUGAAAUCCGUAGAUAUUAGGAGGAACACCAAUGGCGUAGGCAGGCGACUGGGAUAUUUCUGACGCUAAGGCACGAAAGCGUGGGGAGCGAACCGGCUUAGAUACCCCAGUAGUC
rnacentral:rRNA from 1 species